UACUACCGAAGCUACGGCAUCAGUAAGGAUGGGUAGGGGAGCUUCCCAUACGGGUUGAAGCAUGACCGUAAGGACAUGUGGACAGUAUGGGAGUGAGAAUGUUGGCAUGAGUAGCGAGAUGUGGGUGGGAAUCCCACAGGCCGUAAACCCAAGGUUUCCAGGGGAAGGUUCGUCCGCCCUGGGUUAGUCGGGACCUAAGCUGAGGCCGAAAGGCAUAGGUGAUGGACAACAGGUUGAUAUUCCUGUACUACCGAUAACCGUUUGAGAGAUGGGAUGACACAGUAGGAUAAGCUAAGCACACUGUUGGUUAUGUGUGCCCAAGCAUUGAGGCAG
rnacentral:rRNA from 1 species